rnacentral:rRNA from 1 species
GAUGAACGCUGGCGGCGUGCCUAAUACAUGCGAGUCGAGCGAACGGACGAGAAGCUUGCUUCUCUGAUGUUAGCGGCGGACGGGUGAGUAACACGUGGAUAACCUACCUAUAAGACUGGGAUAACUUCGGGAAACCGGAGCUAAUACCGGAUAAUAUUUUGAACCGCAUGGUUCAAAAGUGAAAGACGGUCUUGCUGUCACUUAUAGAUGGAUCCGCGCUGCAUUAGCUAGUUGGUAAGGUAACGGCUUACCAAGGCAACGAUGCAUAGCCGACCUGAGAGGGUGAUCGGCCACACUGGAACUGAGACACGGUCCAGACUCCUACGGGAGGCAGCAGUAGGGAAUCUUCCGCAAUGGGCGAAAGCCUGACGGAGCAACGCCGCGUGAGAGAUGAAGGUCUUCGGAUCGUAAAACUCUGUUAUUAGGGAAGAACAUAUGUGUAAGUAACUGUGCACAUCUUGACGGUACCUAAUCAGAAAGCCACGGCUAGCUACGUG